AGCGUGUGGUUUAAUUCGAUGUUACACGAAGAACCUUACCUGGGUUUGACAUGCUAGUGGUAAUGAAGCGAAAGCUAAGUGACCCGCAAGGGAGCUAGCACAGGUGCUGCAUGGCUGUCGUCAGCUCGUGUCGUGAGAUGUUGGGCUAAGUCCCGCAACGAGCGCAACCCCUAUUGUUAGUUGCCAUCAUUCAGUUGGGCACUCUAGCGAGACUGCCGGUAAUAAACCGGAGGAAGGUGGGGAUGACGUCAAAUCAUCAUGCCCCUUAUGACCUGGGCUACACACGUGCUACAAUGGUUGGUACAACGAGUUGCGAGUCGGUGACGGCGAGCUAAUCUCUUAAAAGCCAAUCUCAGUUCGGAUUGUAGGCUGCAACUCGCCUACAUGAAGUCGGAAUCGCUAGUAAUCGCGGAUCAGCACGCCGCGGUGAAUACGCUCCCGGGCCUU
rnacentral:rRNA from 1 species